rnacentral:sRNA from 1 species
ACCGUUUCUUUCUCAAGAUCAUGAA